AGUGAACGCUGGCGGUAGGCCUAACACAUGCAAGUCGAACGGCAGCACAGUAAGAGCUUGCUCUUACGGGUGGCGAGUGGCGGACGGGUGAGGAAUACAUCGGACUCUACUUUUUCGUGGGGGAUAACGUAGGGAAACUUACGCUAAUACCGCAUACGACCUACGGGUGAAAGCAGGGGAUCUUCGGACCUUGCGCGAUUGAAUGAGCCGAUGUCGGAUUAGCUAGUUGGCGGGGUAAAGGCCCACCAAGGCGACGAUCCGUAGCUGGUCUGAGAGGAUGAUCAGCCACACUGGAACUGAGACACGGUCCAGACUCCUACGGGAGGCAGCAGUGGGGAAUAGUGGACAAUGGGCGCAAGUCUGAUCCAGCCAUACCGCGUGGGUGAAGAAGGCCUUCGGGUUGUAAAGACCUUUUGUUGGGAAAGAAAAGCAGCAGGUUAAUACCCCGCUGUUCUGACGGUACCCAAAGAAUAAGCACCGGCUAACUUCGUG
rnacentral:rRNA from 1 species